AGUGAACGCUGGCGGUAGGCCUAACACAUGCAAGUCGAACGGCAGCACAGUAAGAGCUUGCUCUUACGGGUGGCGAGUGGCGGACGGGUGAGGAGUACAUCGGAAUCUACUUUUUCGUGGGGGAUAACGUAGGGAAACUUACGCUAAUACCGCAUACGACCUACGGGUGAAAGCAGGUGAUCUUCGGACCUUGCGCGUUUGAAUGAGCCGAUGUCGGAUUAGAUAGUUGGCGGGGUAAAGGCCCACCAAGGCGACGAUCCGUAGCUGGUCUGAGAGGAUGAUCAGCAACACUGGAACUGAGACACGGUCCAGACGCCUACGGGAGGCAGCAGUGGGGAAUAUUGGACAAUGGGCGAAAGCAUGAUCCAGCAAUACCGCGUGGGUGAAGAAGGACUUCGGGUUGUAAAGCCCUUUUGUUGGGAAAGAAAAGAAGCAGGUUAAUACCACGCUGUUCUGACGGUACCCAAAGAAUAAGCACCGGCUAACUUCGUG
rnacentral:rRNA from 1 species